rnacentral:lncRNA from 1 species
UUUUUCUUUUAUGUUUUAGCACACACACUACAGUAACCAAAGUUAUAUUUCAGUUAUGAUAAAUCUAUUUAGAGCUUAACUGCGGUAUGUAUUGUAUGCUAUGCUUUCAUCCUACAGUGAAACUGAAAGAAAUACUUGAUUUUGUUAAAGCUAAGACCCAAACUGCACCAACAUCUUGAAGCAAAGUAUUUACAAAUAUUCUGACAACUCAUUUAUCUGUUUUGCCAUAAAAUUGGCUUAUACAUGAUUAAUUAUGAAAAAUAAGCACAGCACGCUUUCAUGCACUUUUACUUUGAAAUCAAGGUCACACUUUGUUUUGCAAUUCAGAAAAAAAGUAUGAAUAAUAUAAUUAACAUAUCAGAAGAUUCUUUGCAAGCAACUUUAUUUAAGCAAGCUAAACCAGGAGCUUGUGAAGUUGUUACUAUUCUAUCAUUGCAGAUGGAUCAUUUCUUAGCCCUUGUUUAUAUCCUUCAUUUUAUUUGACUAAUUCGUUGUAUUGAAAGGAUGCUUGAAGAAGCACCCCUCGUACUAAGCCAUACAACACUGAAUGAAAAUAGUAUUCAUACCUGAAAGCAUUUACAAGCCAGUUCCUGCUCUGUGGACUCAAUUUCAGCUGGGAUGCUGCUCCUUAGAAACAAUUCAGUAAUGGUGUGGUUAUACAUGGGAAACCAGUAACUUAAAGUCAUAGAAUCAUGGAAUCAUUUAGGUUGGAAAAGACUUUUAUGAUCAAGUCCAACCAUUAACCUAACACAGCCAAUUUCACCACUAAACCAUGUCCCUAAGUGACAAAUGUACGCAUCUUUUAAAUACCUGCAGGGAUGGUAACUCCACCACUUCCAAGGGCAGCCUCUUCCAAUGCUUGACAACCCUUUCAGUGAAUCUAAGCCUCCCCUGGCACAACUUGAGGCCAUUUCUUCUUGUCCUAUCACUUGUUACUUGGGAGAACAGACUGACACUCACCUCACUACAACCUCCUUUCAGGUAGCUGUAGAGAAUGAUAAGUUCUCCCCCUCAGCCUCCUUUUCUCCAGACUAAACAACCCCAGUUCCCUCAGCUGCACCUCCCAGGACUUGUGCUCUAGACCCUUUGUGAGCUUUGUUGCUCUUCCUUGGACAUACUUGAGCACCUCAAUGUCUUUUUUGUCAUGAGGGGUCCAAAACUGAACACAGUAUUUGAGGUGCAGCCUCACCAGUGCCAAUACAGACUUCCAUCACCCACCUGAAUACAUCCAGUAAGUCAUUCUGUAAAUUCUCUGCUCAAGAUAUUCAGCUGCCAAAAUAAUUUUGUGCUAAGCAUAGUAUAACAGUGUAAGAUGUGGGUCUCAGGCGUUUGGAUGUAACCACUUCAUGUGAACCAUCUUCUGCCCAUACAGCUGCUUACAAACCCUCACCAAGCCUACAUAUGUGAGUCAGUUCUGGUGAAAGAGCAAAACCACAUAUUGACAAGUCCCUUGCUUCAAAUACCGAGAAGUUAAUUUCUAGAUGCAUGCUUCUUUCACUACCGAAAAUUUACCUAGUUAUCUCAGUAACAGCCAUUUCUUAAUACUAUACUUACUACUUUCUCAAAGCACAAGAGAAAAUAUAUAUGCUUUUGACCCCAGCUACUGUUCUUUCCCUCUGCCUCAGCUGCUGCCCAGAGCCAGCCCCAAAGCCAACUGCAGGCUUGCAAAAGGACAUAUGGAUUAGGAGCUGCCUACUGUAAAGAUCUGAUCGACAAAUAAUAGCCUCCCC